CUCUCCGUAGCUCAGUUGGUAGAGCAGAUGACUCUUAAUCAUCGGGUCACAGGUUCGAGCCCUGUCGGGGAGA
rnacentral:tRNA from 1 species